rnacentral:sRNA from 2 species
AGCUCGACGGGGUCGACGGCGCGGGUCACGACGAGGUAAUCGCGCAUCACGAUGCCGUGCCGGUUCUC